GAGUCUCCUUUCUUUGACUAAUACUCACGUGUUCCUCCUUCAGACGCUCAGUUGGAGUACGGAGAAGACGUCGGGGUGACGGCGGUCGCUCUCUACGAUUACCAAGCAGCCGGCGAGGACGAGAUUUCCUUCGACCCCGACGACAUCAUCACAAACAUCGAGAUGAUCGACGAGGGCUGGUGGCGAGGCGUCUGCGGAGGAGCGUACGGCCUCUUCCCCGCUAACUAUGUGGAAGUGAGGCAGUGAGAGCAAGGAAGGAAACGAGGAAGGAGACGCCCCCUCUUCACACCUCUGUCUUCAACUCAUCGUACUGCAAUAUCCAUAAUCUUUUGCUCCUUUGCCAUCCUUCCACCUUUCCCCCUUUGGAUGAGUUACCUUUACUCGAUGCAAAGAGAAUAUAUUAAUAAUGAUCUGCUCAAAAUGCAACAUGUGAGUGAUUCACCUCCUGCCUCACCGUUGCAUUUUCAAGCUUAUAUUUUCAUAUUAGAGUCAAGGUAUUGUUGCUUCUUCUUCACACACAUCUACCGUUAUGUAAGCAGUAGAAGGUUAAAGUGGGGGAUUUAGAUUAUUCUCUAUGCCGACAUACUGUCCGUGGACCAAAACAACUGAAAACCCCCUUUUAGUGUGUCUGCGUAAAGUUAGCAGGAGUUUAAAUUCCCUUUCUUAUUAAACACUAAACUUCAUUUAGUACAACUUCUUUCUCCUUUUCUUGCAACGUUAUUAUAAAAUCAUGAUAAUAAAGUUUCCUACUAUGCUGAAUUGUUAGCAAAAUAAUGGGGCCAAAAUCACAAGCGUAACAGAAAUAUUUCGUACAUAAAGUAUUACUUUAAUCAUCUUCAAACAUUAUGUACGUACAGAGAGAACAUGAUUUAUGGCGCUUUGAGAACAAAUGUGUGUGUGUGUGUGUGUGUGUGUGUGUAUGCUUGGGGGUGUUUCUUCAUGUAAUAAUAUGUUGAAUUGUGAGAAUUAAAGAUUAGAAAUGUAUAUGAGGCUGUUGUUUGGGUUUAUUUUCUCCAAACACUUGUUAAUUAUUUCAGACUGUUUUGCAGUAGUGUAGCUUGAACGAGUAUGUGUGUCUGAAUGUGUGUGUGUGAGGGUUUCAUGAAAUUCAUCUUCGGGGUUUUUAUAAUGGAAAAAAAAGUGACCUUUUCAAAUGCAUUAUUUGUAUUUUCUGUACUUCUGUUUGCUCGACACAUCAUUACCUGCUUGUUCUUUUUGUUUUGUUUCAAUAAAUAAAUAAUAUGAAUUAUU